ACUUACCUAAUCAUGUCUCUAUCCAGGUGGAUGAUUAUUUAUACACACUUCCCGUUAAGGCACUUCCUGGUAUUGGACAUGUUUUGGAAGAAAAAUUGAAGAAUAAACAAAUUAGAACAUGUGGCCAAUUGCGUUCAAUUACCAAGAGGCCACCUACUUUAUUAAACAAGGCACCAAAAGAGAGAAAAGAUAUGGACGAAAGUAAGAGCAAAAAGGGCCUUGCUGAACUUUAUGAGGACGAGUAUGCUCAGAAGACUGGCCUUGUGUCUACUGCAUUGUCUAUUACAUGGACGAACUGCAAAGCGAGGAAGAUUAUGUCCGGUUGUCCUGUUUCAUAUGCACCUGUUAUCAAUAAUUAAAAUGGAACAGGGAGAGAAUUAUGGCUCUCGAUCUAGUAAAAUUUGGCAAGUCAGAAUCUAUUAUACUGGAAUGAACACUUUUCCUUUUUUGUAUAGAUUUGCAAAAUUAAAACCAAGCUCAUGGUUUGAUACGCUGAAGAAAUGCUUGGCUGAAUCUCAACGUGUUCUUAAAGCAUUGGGGAUGGAUUAUUUAGAGAAGGCUGCUGAUUAUGAUGCUUUAAAAUGCUUCAGAAAAGCUUAGGGCCUUAAAUCUGCUAUGCAUUCAUGUUCUUGGAACGAAAAAGCUAAGAAGUUGGAUAGAAGACCAAAACAAACAAUUUGAGCAGAAGACAAAGGAAGCUAAAUCAAAGGUUUUUGAUGCUACAGGCAAGGUAAUCAAACAUUCUAAUUAGUAAUUACACCAGUUGUGAAACUAGAUUUAUAUCAGCUUUCUCCCUCUUCUCAUACUAUACUCUCAACAAAUAAAGACUUCGCAGCUGAAAAUUAAAGGUGACAUUGCCAAAGCAAUUGAUGCUAGGGAUGGGGAGCGGGAAGCUCGUGCAAAGCUGCUCGAGUCAGAGGCGAUGCUGAUGCAAAGCUGCAUUAAUUAUUCUAUGCAGCAUAUUAGUUCUAACCGUUUUCUGUUUGUAGGUGGCACCUCUGGCCGUGUCUGAUGCAGCUAUGCUAGCUCCUGAAGAAGUAUUUUCUGGUUGAGCUUGUGUGUCGGGUUCUCUCCUAAGUUAGUUGCUGCAAAUUCAUCAUAGCAGGUCAACUAGUUCAUGAGGACUUGGUGCUAGAACACAUAAUAUGAUAGAUUUUUGUUUUAGCUAUAAGAUAGUUGGUACUUUCAAUUUUGAAUCGAAAUAUGCAAUGAUCAUAUGUACUUGAUACUUGGUUCAUUUGGAUGGUAAUGUAUGAAUAUUUUGGAUGAUAUAUAAUAUUGUUAUUGGUGAUUUUAU